UACGGAGGAUGCGAGCGUUAUCCGGAUUUAUUGGGUUUAAAGGGUGCGUAGGCGGGUUGUUAAGUCAGCGGUAAAAUUGCGGUGCUCAACGCCGUAGAGUCGUUGAAACUGGCGGCCUUGAGUGGGCGAGAAGUAUGCGGAAUGCGUGGUGUAGCGGUGAAAUGCAUAGAUAUCACGCAGAACCCCGAUUGCGAAGGCAGCAUACCGGCGCCCUACUGACGCUGAGGCACGAAAGUGCGGGUAUCGAACAGG
rnacentral:rRNA from 1 species